rnacentral:rRNA from 1 species
UACAGAGGUCUCAAGCGUUGUUCGGAUUCAUUGGGCGUAAAGGGUGCGUAGGUGGCGGGGUAAGUCUGGUGUGAAAUCUCGGGGCUCAACCCCGAAACUGCACUGGAUACUGCCUUGCUUGAGUACUGGAGAGGAGAUUGGAAUUUACGGUGUAGCAGUGAAAUGCGUAGAUAUCGUAAGGAAGACCAGUGGCGAAGGCGAACCUCUGGACAGUUACUGACACUGAGGCACGAAGGCCAGGGGAGCAAACGGG